UACGAAGGGGCUAGCGUUGCUCGGAAAUCACUGGGCGUAAAGCGCACGUAGGCGGAUCUUUAAGUCAGGGGUGAAUCCCAAGGCUCAACCUUGGAACUGCCUUUGAUACUGGGGAUCUCGAGUCCGGAAGAGGUGAGUGGAACUGCGAGUGUAGAGGUGAAAAUUCGUAGAUAUUCGCAAGAACACCAGUGGCGAAGGCGGCUCACUGGUCCGGUACUGACGCUGAGGUGCGAAAGCGUGGGGAGCAACAGGG
rnacentral:rRNA from 1 species